rnacentral:lncRNA from 1 species
GUUUUUUAAUUAUUAAAAAAGGAAUAAAAUUAUACACCUGAUUUCACUAUUUUAAAAAAAUAAUUUUAUUUUCUAAGGAGAAGAAUACUAAUACUAAUCAUAAAUAAGCAAGGGACUUAGUUUGAUUCGUAUAAAAAAAUUUUAUUCAGAAUAUCAAUUAAAAUUUAAAAAAUUAAUAUUUAUAGAUUUAUGUGUAAAGUUAUUUUAUUAAAAAGUAAAAGAAAUAUUAAAAAAAU